rnacentral:rRNA from 1 species
ACGGAAGGCAGCAGUGAGGAAUAUUGGUCAAUGGGCGGAAGCCUGAACCAGCCAUGCCGCGUGCAGGAAUAAGGCCCUAUGGGUCGUAAACUGCUUUUGACGUGGAGCAAUAAGGCGCACGAGUGCGCCGAUGAGAGUACAUGUCGAAUAAGCAUCGGCUAACUCCGUGCCAGCAGCCGCGGUAAUACGGAGGAUGCAAGCGUUAUCCGGAUUUAUUGGGUUUAAAGGGUGCGUAGGCUGUGCUGCAAGUCAGGGGUGAAAUACCCGAGCUUAACUCGGGAACUGCCUUUGAUACUGCAGUGCUUGAAUACUGUUGCCGUGGGAGGAAUGAGUAGUGUAGCGGUGAAAUGCAUAGAUAUUACUCAGAACACCGAUUGCGAAGGCAUCUCACGAAGCAGUCAUUGACGCUGAGGCACGAAAGCGUGGGGAUCAAACAGGAUUAGAUACCCUGGUA